AUGUCUGGCACUAAGGUGGAGUUGGUGUGUUGGAAUGUGAGGGGCCUCAAUAGCCCGGCAAAGAAAAAGGCUUUGAGGGAGUUUGUAGAUUCGGUUAAGGCCACUAUUAUUUGUAUUCAGGAGACAAAAUUAGCAGUUGUAGACCGCUAUAUCACCAUGCAAUGUUUAGGUCCGUCUUAUGAUGGUUUUGCUUACCUCCCGGCUAAUGGGACACGUGGAGGGAUUUUGGUGGCG
rnacentral:rRNA from 1 species